rnacentral:tmRNA from 1 species
GGGGAUGUCCACAAGUCGCAGGUACCUUGAGAACUCUUGCGCCAGCCGUCGCGGCGUACGCGCGACGAAAAUCAAAUCGUACGCAAAGAGACAAAUGCCAAUACUCUCUUGAACCGCGCGAAAUUGGCAGUGAGCAAUUUAUUUGCAAACUUCCAGCUCGCACCGGUUGCGGCAGCCUAACGGCCGCCGCCAUCCGCCCAUGUGCCGCCUGCGCGUGUGGAUCCGGGUGUUACCUUGCAGGCUUGUUCCGCUGCCUCUCCUUCGUGCAGCGGAAGACAUGGCCGAAGGAUCUGGAUGGACGGCUUGUCCGUUCUUCAAUGUUCAUUCAGUACCAUGAACGGUCUGUGCUGGGAUACGCGGGAGUAGGAAAGGCGCCUCACGCGGGUGUAAGACCCGCCAUCUCCACCA